ensembl:lncRNA
UGGCAGAAGAAUGUGUAGCUGAGGCUGUGGAGUUAUUGUCUUCUGAAAGUCUACCAAACCAAACUGAAAGACACUCAUCUCCUAGAAUAUAUUCAGAGACAGUUUUUGUGCCAGGUGUGACUGCUGUGGAUGGAGUCACAUGGCAGGAUCUGCAAACACUUUCACCAGAUGCGUCACAGAGUGUCUCUCCAGACCCCUUGCUUCUAGCAGAGAUGCCACAAACUGUUAUAUCUGUGUCUGAAAGUGUUUCUCCUCUCUACACUGUGGAGAGAGAAGAGACAGCAGCCCAAGAACAAUCUGUUGAAGAAGCUCUCAUUGCCGCUGCUGCUGGAGUAUCAGUAUUACCAGCUGAAUGCUCAGGCACUGACAGAGUUGAAAGUACUGAAACAGCUUAUGUCGUCACAACGGAAAAUACUCCUCACAAGUCAUUAGAUGAAAGUGUGGUUAGUGUGACUCCUGUCCGAAGUCCCAUUCAGAUGAACAUGAAUGAGAUUGCUGAUGCAGAUGAUUUGAAUCUGGUCAAGGAAAUGCCAGAAUCUCUGGCAGAUAACUCUGAACUGUCACCUCUCGCACAAGUACACCCUGAGGAGAUGUUAGGAUUUCCAAGUGAUCAGACAAGCGCUGCUGGUGGGGAGUGUCCAAACACAACAGACACAGGGUUUAUAACAUCUGGCGGUAUACCCUGUCAGGAAGAUAGUUUGACAGAAACAAUGAAGACAACAGAAAUGGGGACAACCUCAAAAGUUUCUUCAGAGACAUCAGAGAUAUCUCAGACUGUUACAUCUGUAUUUGAGAAGGUUUCCCCUCUCUGCACUGUGGACGGAGGGGAGAUAGCAGUGCAAGAACCAUCUGUUGAAGACAUUCUCAAUGCUGCUACUGCUGUUUUGGUUGCUGUUGCUGCUGCUGCUGCAGUAGAAUCAGUGAUGCCCCCUGAAUGCUCAGGAAGUGACAAUGCUGAAUGUCUUGAAACAGUGCAGAAUGUUCUCAAAGAGGACAUGGGGUCUGUGCUAUCAAAACACUCAGGAGUCAACCUAGAUGCAAAGUCUGCAUCAGAGCCUGUAGACAAUGUGACCCCUAUCAAAAGUCCCAUUCAGGAGAACAUGAGUGAGACUGCUGAUGCUGAUGAUUUGGUCGAGGGGAUGCCUGAGUCUCUAGCGGACUACUCUGAACCGUCACCUUUCAGACAAGAGCAACCUGAGGAGACAGCAGACUCACCCGAUGAGCACAUUGUUCUGACAAGCCCUGCUGAUGAGGAUGGUCCUAAAGUAACCUACACUGAAUGCAUCACAUGUGACAGAGAAAAAGCAGAGGCAGCACUACAAGAACCAUCUGGUGAAGAUGCUCUCGGUGCUGUGGAAUCGGUAUUACCAGGAGGUAACAACGCUGAUGGUCCUGAAACAGCAGAGAAUGUGCUCCAAAAGGAUGUGGAAUCUGUAUCACCAAGAUAUUCUGGAACUGACAUCACAGAAGGGUUAGCUUCAGAACCAAUAGAAGACAAUGUGGACAACACAAGUCUUGUCAGUAGUUCCGAUGAGGAGAACAUGAGCGAGAUUACUGAGACAGCGACAGCUCAGUCCCAGACACGAACACUUUCUCCAGAUGCCUUUCGCAAAACAGAGGUACCUCAGACUGACACAUUGGAGGUAGACUGGACACUGGACACUGGACUGAACAGAGAAGAGGCAAAAGCUCAACAGCCAUCUGGUGAUGGAGCUCUUAGUGUCUCACCAGAUGUCAAGGGAAGCUUCUUGUUACAUCGUCCGUUUGAAUCCUCUGAAACUGAAACUUUUGAAAAGCUUGGAAUAGCAGAGAUUGUCGUCCCCCAGGACAUGGAGCUAGUUUCAGUAGGAUGUUCGAGAGACAUCACAGAAGGGUCUCUGUCUCAGUCAGCAGGAGACAGCAUAGACGACCACAGAGAGUCGUCUCCCACUGGGCCC